rnacentral:rRNA from 1 species
UACGGGGGGGGCUAGCGUUGUUCGGAAUUACUGGGCGUAAAGGGCGCGUAGGCGGUCUGCUAAGUUGGAUGUGAAAACUCUGGGCUUAACCCAGAGCCUGCAUUCAAUACUGACAGGCUAGAGUUCUGGAGGGGAUAGCGGAAUUCCUGGUGUAGCGGUGAAAUGCGUAGAUAUCAGGAGGAACACCAAUAGCGAAGGCAGCUCGCUGGGACGUACUGACACUGAGGCGCGAAAGCGUGGGGAGCGAACAGG